UACGAAGGGGGCUAGCGUUGCUCGGAAUCACUGGGCGUAAAGGGUGCGUAGGCGGGUCUUUAAGUCAGGGGUGAAAUCCUGGAGCUCAACUCCAGAACUGCCUUUGAUACUGAAGAUCUUGAGUUCGGGAGAGGUGAGUGGAACUGCGAGUGUAGAGGUGAAAUUCGUAGAUAUUCGCAAGAACACCAGUGGCGAAGGCGGCUCACUGGCCCGACACUGACGCUGAGGCACGAAAGCGUGGGGAGCAAACAGG
rnacentral:rRNA from 1 species